GGGAAGACGGGCCUCCUGGGGGCCUGUUCCGGAGGCUUGUUCUCUCUAGGCUCCUUUUAAACAAUUCCUCAGCUGCUGAGACUUGCCCUCGCCUGACUGGGAGCACAGAACUGGCUCUCCCAAGACCGUCCUUCUCCUCUUUCACCUUGGCCUCACCCCAAAUGCCUUUCCUCUGCCAGCUGGAGAGGAGUGGCUUAACUCUUUAUUACCGAUCAACCAUGAGCUCCCAGAUACCUCAGAAUUAUCCCACUGAGACGGAGUUGUCUUCAGCCGCCUGGUCAACAGGGAUCUGCGGGCCUCCUACACCUAUCUCUCUCUGGGCUUGUAUUUCCACCAUGAAGGAUAUGGCUCUGGAGAACUUGGAACACUGUUUUAUGGAAAUUGGCUGAGGAGAAGCACGAGCGUGAACCUCUCUUGAAAAUGCAAAACCAGCGGCAGUAGCCACUUGCUGGAGUUGGGUAAAACCCAGGACUCUGUGGAAGCCGCCAUUCUGAUUGUCCGCGCAGACUCCCACCUCUGUGACUUCCUGGCGACCGGCUUCCUAGACAAGAAGGUGAAACUCAUCAAGAAAAUGGGCAGCUACCUGACCAACCUUCACAGGCUGGCUGGUUCCCAGGCGGGGCAGGGCGAGUAUCUCUUCCAAAGGCUCACCUCCAUCAUGACUAGUAGCCUCCGAAGCCCAGCAGCCUUUGAGGAGCCCCUCUGGUGACAGCGCUUCUGCCUGAAGCCCCUCUCUGCAGCCACUAAGUAGCUUUUUAAGCACUCUGGAGCUCUCUCCCAAGCCUUGGACCAUAUGGAAACUGUAAAGCUUUUUGCAGAAAAAACAGAAGGAAAGGAAAGAAAAAAAGCCUGCAUGAAGGUUAUUUAUCAGAUCAUACUUAAAGGGAAGUGAUUAGUUGUGUGGCCUCAGGCAAGUCCUUUAUUUCUCUGAACCCAUUUCCUUUCUUAAAAUGAGAUGGGUAGGAAAGCAGGAAAAUUGGGAAUCCAAAGUAGACUGUUCUGCUUUUGAUGCUUAUCUUCUAGUUUAAAUUCAAGGAAUUAUGAAGUCUUUACAUCAAGGCAGGGACAGUACACGGGGCAACAUCCAUGGUGGCAUCAUCCAUGGUGAGAAAGGUGUGGUUAAGAAGGUCAUUCUGGAGAGAGCAGUUACCUUCACAGUAAGCUUAGCCACAGAGCAUCUAGAUGAAGCAGAUUACCUGGGACAAGGGUGACAGACUCUAAAAGUCAAGCAAGUGACAUAAAUGAAUGAAGCAGGCCAAUUAUAAGAGAAUCAACAGCACAAGUGCAAUGCAUAAUCUAAACAUCUUCAGUAUAUGUUCAUCUUGGGAACGAUCUUCUGAAUAAGGAGAAUGACAGAGAACUGUCAAUCUAAACAAGAGGGAGAGGUUGAGGUGGAGGGAAGGAAGGUGGGAUUAGAAAUCUAGACAAAUGCAUACGCUGCCUUACCAAUCAACACAGCCUUAUGAGACAUCGUUGAAUUUCCUGAACAAGCCAAGCUUCUGGGCCAUUGUUAGUUCCUUCUUGGGAAUCACGGACGUGGCUUUUGGUCUUGGAGCUGCCAUUUACUAACUCAGAAACAUUGGGC
ensembl:lncRNA